UACAGAGGGUGCAAGCGUUGUUCGGAAUCAUUGGGCGUAAAGGGCGUGUAGGCGGUUUGUUAAGUCAUGUGUGAAAUCCCUCGGCUUAACCGAGGAACUGCCUGUCAGACUGUGAGGCUUGAGACCGGGAGAGGUGAGUGGAAUUCCCAGUGUAGCGGUGAAAUGCGUAGAUAUUGGGAGGAACACCAGUGGCGAAGGCGGCUCACUGGACCGGAACUGACGCUGAGGCGCGAAAGCGUGGGGAGCAACAGG
rnacentral:rRNA from 1 species